UUUUUUUUUUUUUAGAUUUCAGGCUGUGGUUGUAUAUGGAGCAGAAACACAAGUUUUCUAUUUCACCCACCAUGAAUGACAAAAAAAGCGGCUGGAGGCACUUGCAAAUGGCACAUGAGCAGAUUACAUUCUUUUUUCUUUCUUUCAUAGAAUACCUUUCAUCCAUCACAUCCGAGAUACUCAGAUGAGACGGGAUUUUGUUCUGUGCACCUAUUCAAUGAAAUACAUAUCUAUACUUCAAUAAAAGGUUAAACAUCCCAAAUUUAAACUGGAUAUAUAAAUUCCAUGCCAUUGAACAUGAGGCAUGAGAAUUUGUCUUGAAAUAUAUGUAGAUUGUAUUGCAUUAUUUUACGACCAUUCAACAAUUUUCAGUUAUUUAGAGCCGAUGUAGGUCUAUGUUACGUACACAGAACUAUGUAUUUUAUGUUAGGUCUAUGUUACGUACACAGAACUAUGUAUUUUAUGUUAGGUCUAUGUUACGUACACAGAACGAUGUAUUUUAUGUUAGGUCUAUGUUACGUACACAGAACUAUGUAUUUUAUGUUAGGUCUAUGUCACGUACACAGAACUAUGUAUUUUAUGUUAGGUCUAUGUUACGUACACAGAACUACUGUUUGUAUUUUAUGUUAGGUCUAUAUUACGUACACAGAACUAUGUAUUUUAUGUUA